UACAGAGGUGGCAAGCGUUGUUCGGAAUUACUGGGCGUAAAGAGCGCGUAGGCGGAAAUUUAAGCGUGGCCUGAAAGCCCCCGGCUCAACCGGGGAGUGCGGCUGCGAACUGGGUUUCUUGAGGACGAUAGAGGAGAGUGGAAUUCCUGGUGUAGCGGUGAAAUGCGUAGAUAUCAGGAGGAACACCCGAGGCGAAGGCGGCUCUCUGGGUCGUACCUGACGCUGAGGCGCGAAAGCGUGGGGAGCGAACGGG
rnacentral:rRNA from 1 species